AUUCCAGCUCCAAUAGCGUAUAUUAAAGUUGUUGCAGUUAAAAAGCUCGUAGUUGGAUUUCUGGCGGGAGCGGCCUGUCCUGCCCUUUGCGGGGUUGAGCACAAGCGCUGCAUCCGGCCAUCCUUGUGGAGAGCGUUUCUGGCAUUCAGUUGUCGGACUCGGGAUCCGCAUCGUUUACUGUGAAAAAAUUAGAGUGCUUAAAGCAGGCAUUUGCUUGAAUACAUUAGCAUGGAAUAAUAAGAUAGGACUUAGUCGUUAUUUUGUUGGUCUUGCACGUCUAGGUAAUGAUUAAUAGGGAUAGUUGAGGGUAUUCAUAUUUAAUUGUCAGAGGUGAAAUUCUUGGAUUUAUGAAAGAUGAACUUAUGCGAAAGCAUUUACCAUGGAUGUUUUCAUCA
rnacentral:rRNA from 1 species